UCAUCCGAAAAAUAAUUCCACCAAAUUCCAUAUAUUGACCUCGAAAGAUUCACAGAACUGUUACUACAUCAAAAUAUAACAAUCCUUUCAGUGAAUGUAAAAUGUAAUUUAUCAUGUAUCAUCAAUCUCAAAUUCCAAGUGAAAAAACAAGAAAAAAACAAAGAGGCAGAGACAGAGACUUCAAAUGAUCAUUGGUGGGAGACUUCUAAUUAUUCCCUCUCUUCCAUGAAUCAUUCGCUUCCAAGAUUUCAAUUGACCAGUAAUUUUCUUGCAGAAACCAGUUUUAGCAGAAACUAAUGUUAAUCCAAUGCUCUUUCUCAGUAUCUUAAAUCUUUUACCAAUCUUGAUCUUCAACUUGAACAUUUUCACUCUCAGCCAUGAAGGUCUUGACCUCCUGAUUUCUGCUUUCUGCAAAGCCUUGUAAAUCAAGAAUUGUGCCCUUUGAUGCUUUUUCUCUUCCGGGUCAAACAUUUCCAUCUUCGAAUACGCAUAUGAUCUAUUCAAAAAGUCCAUUUUGAUGAUCUUGAGGCUACUCGACUCGAUAGGGAAGGUAUUUUAUUGGCGACUGGGCUUGUCUUUUUUUGACAGAUUACUCUCAAAGACGGAUUUUUUUUUACUGAGGGCUUUCUUGUGACGAGCGGGCUUGCAAAAAACUGUGUGUGUGUGUGUUAGAGCGAGAUAGAAGAGAGACAGAGAUGAGUUGAUCAAAGAUUUGUUGAAUUUGAUGAAGUAUUUAUAGUGAAACAUUGAAGAGUUGCAAUGGGGGUCAUGUUAAUAAUGGGAUUGAAAACUGAAAAACUGAGCUGGCCUGAAAUGCAUUAUAUGCUGCAAAAAUUUUCUUUUAGUUAAUUGUCAAACAACUAUAUAUCUAUAUAUAACUAGGAUUUGAUGGAGACAGCAGAUAUAAAAAUGACACACCCGGGCGGUUGAAGC
rnacentral:lncRNA from 1 species